rnacentral:rRNA from 1 species
GAUGAACGCUAGCGGCAGGCCUAAUACAUGCAAGUCGAACGAGAUUACGAGGCUUGCUUCUUAUGAAAGUGGCGCACGGGUGCGUAACGCGUAUGCAACCUACCUUAAUCAGGGGGAUAGCCCGAAGAAAUUCGGAUUAAGACCGCAUAAAAACACAGGAUAGCAUUAUCCAAUGUUCAAAUAUUUAUAGGAUUAAGAUGGGCAUGCGUGUCAUUAGCUAGUUGGCGGGGUAACGGCCCACCAAGGCGACGAUGACUAGGGGAUCUGAGAGGAUGACCCCCCACACUGGUACUGAGACACGGACCAGACUCCUACGGGAGGCAGCAGUAAGGAAUAUUGGUCAAUGGAGGGAACUCUGAACCAGCCAUGCCGCGUGCAGGAAGACAGCCCUCUGGGUCGUAAACUGCUUUUAGUCGGGAAUAAACCUUUCUACGUGUAGGAAGCUGAAUGUACCGAAGGAAUAAGGAUCGGCUAACUCCGUG